rnacentral:lncRNA from 1 species
CAAGAACUCUAUAAACAUCCUAAAAAUAAACAGAGAAAUAAAAACCCAAGUAAACAAAUAAACUGACUAUAAUAGGUAAGAUGGCUGCUUUGCAGAUUCACAAUUAAAAUCCUUUAAAUUGUUCUCCCUUUGUUUCUGACUCUUUGUUUUUGAAUGGCCUGAUAAGAACAAUUUACUUUCUUUUAUCCCAAACUUCUGAACAUAAGGGUUUUUUUUCCUUGCUCUUCUUAAACAAUUUCCUGAAGUGUACAGGACCAUAAUUUGGUGUUCAUAAUUUUCUAAGCAUAUUAAUUAUUCCCUUGGGAACAAAAUAUUAGUAGUACUAAAACAUUCUGGAAAGAAAGAAGUUAUUCAUUAUCCACUACAAUGUAUAAAAUUUAUAAGGAAACUAAAAAAUGUGAAUGUGGAAAAAUG